rnacentral:rRNA from 1 species
GAUGAACGCUGGCGGCGUGCCUAAUACAUGCAAGUCGAGCGAACGGACGAGAAGCUUGCUUCUCUGAUGUUAGCGGCGGACGGGUGAGUAACACGUGGAUAACCUACCUAUAAGACUGGGAUAACUUCGGGAAACCGUAGCUAAUACCGGAUAAUAUUUUGAACCGCAUGGUUCAAAAGUGAAAGACGGUCUUGCUGUCACUUAUAGAUGGAUCCGCGCUGCAUUAGCUAGUUGGUAAGGUAACGGCUUACCAAGGCAACGAUGCAUAGCCGACCUGAGAGUGUGAUCGGCCACACUGGAACUGAGACACGGUCCAGGCUCCUACGAGAGGCAGCAGUAGGGAAUCUUCCGCAAUGGUCGAAAGCCUGACGGAGCAACGCCGCGUGAGUGAUGAAGGUCUUCGGAUCGUAAAACUCUGUUAUUAGGGAAGAACAUAUGUGUAAGUAACUGUGCACAUCUUGACGGUACCUAAUCAAAAAGCCACGGCUAACUACGUG